UACGUAGGAGGCGAGCGUUGUCCGGAGUUACUGGGCGUAAAGGGUGCGCAGGCGGUGGCCCGCGUGGGCGGUGAAAGCUCCUGGCUCAACUGGGAGAGGGCCGUCCAGACGGGGUCACUUGAGGGGCGGAGAGGGGCGUGGAAUUCCGGGUGGAGCGGUGAAAUGCGUAGAUAUCUGGAGGAACACCGGUGGCGAAGGCGGCGUUCUGGACUGCAACUGACACUGAGGAACGAAAGCCAGGGGAGCAAACGGG
rnacentral:rRNA from 1 species